rnacentral:rRNA from 1 species
GAUAAACGCUGGCGGCGUGCCUAAUGCAUGCAAGUCGAACGGGGUGGUCUUUCGGGGCCAUCGAGUGGCGGACGGGUGAGGAACACGUACGAGACCUGCCCACCGGUGGGGAAUAACCCUUCGAAAGGGGGGCUAAUGCCGCAUACGGUUGCCUGGGUAGAGCCGGGCAAGGAAAGCCCUUUUUGGGUGCUGGUGGAGGGGCGUGCGGCCGAUUAGCUAGUUGGUGGGGUAACGGCCUACCAAGGCGUCGAUCGGUAGCUGGUCUGAGAGGAUGGUC